GAUAAACGCUGGCGGCGUGCCUAACACAUGCAAGUCGAACGAAGCUCUCUGAAUUGAGUUUUCGGACAAGAGGAAGAGAUGACUUAGUGGCGGACGGGUGAGUAAUGCGUGGGCAACCUGCCUUUCAGAGGGGGACAACAGUUGGAAACGACUGCUAAUACCGCAUAAUGUAUUUUGAUGGCAUCAUCGAAAUACCAAAGAUUAUAUCGCUGAAAGAUGGGCUCACGUCUGAUUAGCUAGUUGGUGAGGUAACGGCUCACCAAGGCUGCGAUCAGUAGCCGGACUGAGAGGUCGAACGGCCACAUUGGGACUGAGAUACGGCCCAGACUCCUACGGGAGGCAGCAGUGGGGAAUAUUGGGCAAUGGGCGCAAGCCUGACCCAGCAACGCCGCGUGAAGGAAGAAGGCUUUCGGGUUGUAAACUUCUUUUGGCAGGGACGAAACAAAUGACGGUACCUGCAGAAUAAGCACCGGCUAACUACGUGCCAGCCGCCGCCGUAACAC
rnacentral:rRNA from 1 species